rnacentral:misc_RNA from 1 species
AAAAGCAUCGUACGUUUGUCUCGGUUUUAAUCCGCUGGAUAAAGCAAGAAUCCGGAUAAUCGGUAGCCAGAUAAACGAGCUGCCACGGCGGCAACCUACUAAAGAGACAAGACGGAAGCCCGUACGAGCGAAGCUUUUAAAAUCGGCGACUUUAAGCGAGAAGAAAGAUGUACGGCGAAACCUGGAGAUAGAGAGGGCAGGGAAACGAAAGUUCGCUGAUAAGAAACGAACACGGAGGGCUGAGGGGGAAUCUAAGGGAGAAGAAACACGAACGAGAGGGAAGAUCGGCGAAAGAAAGAGGAAACGCACAAAAGGGAAAAGCCAGCAAAAGAACGACUUUCACAGGCGGAACCCAUAAACGGAGACUUAGCAAAAGAGCGAUGUGACGAGAGAAGAAAUUGUACAAUUCGCCAA